GUGCCAGCAGCCGCGGUAAUACGAAGGGGGCUAGCGUUGCUCGGAAUCACUGGGCGUAAAGGGUGCGUAGGCGGGUUUUUAAGUCAGAGGUGAAAUCCUGGAGCUCAACUCCAGAACUGCCUUUGAUACUGGGAAUCUUGAGUAUGGAAGAGGUGAGUGGAACUGCGAGUGUAGAGGUGAAAUUCGUAGAUAUUCGCAAGAACACCAGUGGCGAAGGCGGCUCACUGGUCCAUAACUGACGCUGAGGCACGAAAGCGUGGGGAGCAAACAGGAUUAGAUACCCUCGUAGUCC
rnacentral:rRNA from 1 species